CCUAGCUUGCUAGGUGGAUUAGUGGCGCACGGGUGAGUAAUAUAUAGAUAACGUGCCUCUUAGUCUGGGAUAGCCAUUGGAAACGAUGAUUAAUACUAGAUACUCCUUCUAACUCUAAUGUUAGUUGGGAAAGUUUUUCGCUAAGAGAUCGGUCUAUAUCCCAUCAGCUAGUUGGUAGUGUAAGAGACUACCAAGGCAAUGACGGGUAGCGGGUUUGAGAGGAUGAUCCGCCACACUGGUACUGAGACACGGACCAGACUCCUACGGGAGGCAGCAGUGAGGAAUAUUGCACAAUGGAGGAAACUCUGAUGCAGCAACGCCGCGUGGAGGAUGACGCAUUUCGGUGUGUAAACUCCUUUUAUAUGUCAAGAAAAUGACGGUAGCAUAUGAAUAAGCACCGGCUAACUCCGUGCCAGCAGCCGCGGUAAUACGGAGGGUGCAAGCGUUAUUCGGAAUCACUGGGCGUAAAGGACGCGU
rnacentral:rRNA from 1 species